rnacentral:rRNA from 1 species
GUGAACGCUGGCGGUAGGCCUAACACAUGCAAGUCGAACGGCAGCACAGUAAGAGCUUGCUCUUACGGGUGGCGAGUGGCGGACGGGUGAGGAAUACAUCGGAAUCUACUUUUUCGUGGGGGAUAACGUAGGGAAACUUACGCUAAUACCGCAUACGACCUACGGGUGAAAGCAGGGGAUCUUCGGACCUUGCGCGAUUGAAUGAGCCGAUGUCAGAUUAGCUAGUUGGCGGGGUAAAGGCCCACCAAGGCGACGAUCCGUAGCUGGUCUGAGAGGAUGAUCAGCCACACUGGAACUGAGACACGGUCCAGACUCCUACGGGAGGCAGCAGUGGGGAAUAUUGGACAAUGGGCGCAAGCCUGAUCCAGCCAUACCGCGUGGGUGAAGAAGGCCUUCGGGUUGUAAAGCCCUUUUGUUGGGAAAGAAAAGCAGCAGGUUAAUACCCCGCUGUUCUGACGGUACCCAAAGAAUAAGCACCGGCUAACUUCGUG